GCAAAACGCGAAGAACCUUACCAGGUCUUGACAUCCUAGAAACUUUCCAGAGAUGGAUUGGUGCCUUCGGGAAUCUAGAGACAGGUGCUGCAUGGCUGUCGUCAGCUCGUGUCGUGAGAUGUUGGGUUAAGUCCCGCAACGAGCGCAACCCUUGCCAAUAAUUGCCAUCAUUCAGUUGGGCACUUUAUUGGGACUGCCGGUGACAAACCGGAGGAAGGUGGGGAUGACGUCAAGUCCUCAUGGCCCUUAUGGCCAGGGCUUCACACGUAAUACAAUGGCUGGUACAAAGGGUUGCCAACCCGCGAGGGGGAGCUAAUCCCAUAAAGCCAGUCGUAGUCCGGAUCGCAGUCUGCAACUCGACUGCGUGAAGUCGGAAUCGCUAGUAAUCGUGGAUCAGAAUGUCACGGUGAAUACGUUCCCGGGUCUUGUACACACCG
rnacentral:rRNA from 1 species